rnacentral:rRNA from 1 species
UAGGGAAUCUUGCGCAAUGGGCGAAAGCCUGACGCAGCGACGCCGCGUGAGGGAUGAAUGCCUUCGGGUUGUAAACCUCUUUCAGCAGGGACGAAGCCUUCGGGUGACGGUACCUGCAGAAGAAGGUCCGGCCAACUACGUGCCAGCAGCCGCGGUGACACGUAGGCACCAAGCGUUGUCCGGAUUUAUUGGGCGUAAAGAGUUCGUAGGCGGUUCGGUAAGUCGGGUGUGAAAACUUUGGGCUUAACCCAAAGCCUGCAUCCGAUACUGCUGUGACUAGAGUUCGGUAGGGGAGCGGGGAAUUCCUAGUGUAGCGGUGAAAUGCGCAGAUAUUAGGGGGAACACCGGUGGCGAAGGCGCCGCUCUGGGCCGAUACUGACGCUGAGGAGCGAAAGCGUGGGUAGCAAA